UGUUCACCUGGCAGGCGGCGGUGAUCGCCGCGGCGGUGGCGUCGCUGCCGCUGGUGUUCAAGCCGGCGCGUGCCGCGUUCGAAGGCGUGGACGGACAAC
rnacentral:tRNA from 1 species